AGUGGGGUUCAGAGUGCCUGCUGGGGUAGGGGGAAGAAACCAAGGUCACAGUGAAGCAGCUGGGUCCCUGUUGGCCCUGCAGGAGCUGGCUGCUAACUGGCCCAUCGGAAUGUAGGGUUACACUCGGUCACUUCCCCAUAUGAAACGACUUUACAACCAAGGACUGCAAGGCCCAACCUUACUAAGUGCUUGCUGUUUUGUCUCUUUGAACAGUGCCUAAGAUCUUGGUGCCUGGCUGCACAUGUGCCCGACUGGCAGAUGGGCCAUGCAAUGUGUCCUGCCACGCUGUCCCCUUGCUGUCCUGACGCUGUGCUCUGUGGAGCUGUCGGGGGCGCGUCUGUCCUGUCACCAUGACAGCAGGGACUUUCCCAGGCUGGGGAUUUUCAUGGCCUCAGUGACUGCUGUUGACCUCCAAUCAGCCUGGCCUUGGCUGACGCUGCAGCCGUCUUUCGGUUUCCCAGGCUUCUGCGCUUCUCACUCAAAAAGCUGCGAAACUGUUCCCUUUUGAAUGUGCUCAGCAUCUUCCAGAAGCUAUGAAGGAGCAGAGGGAUCGCCCCCAAGCCAAGCUGUUUCAGACAGAAGAGGAACAACUGGAGUUAAAGAAGAGUCAUCAGUUUCUCAGAAACCAGCUACAAAAAAGAGAAAAGCAUCAGCAACACAGGAACAAUAUGACGGCGUGGACCACAGCCUGGACCACGGAGGAAGAGGGGCCAGCUGAUGGUCUGCAGCAGAAGUGCUCUCUGGGACAGCGGAGCCAGCUUUGCUGUGUCGGACUCUGAGACCAUCUCUGCCCCCGCGUACCCCGCUUCAGAAGCUGCUGCGAGAGCCAGCGCCUGCUUCCCGCUCAGCCGCCCUGCUUGGGACUGGUCACCAAGCAUAGGAGAUGCCCCCUGCACUUCUCAGCCCCAGGUCCAGGUUAUGGGCGAGGCCUCUUGUGGUGGGUGAGAACACUGCUCCUUCGCAGUCACACCAUCAGUUAGGAAACAGUAUCGAGGGAAAAGUCUGUGUCAGUUCAGACACAAUCUUUUCCCCCCAAAUAUUUUCCAUCUGAGGUUGACUGAGGCUCAGAUGCCGAAACCACAAGCGUGGAACCCAGGAACCCGGAGCUCCCAGACGGCGCUGGGUGGCAAGGUCCUCAAGGGCACAGGAGUCCAGGGAGCUCUCAGCGGCCUGACGGGACUGUCUGAUUUCCCACUGAUAUUGUGGAAAGAUCUCCCAGCCUACCAACUGUUUGUCCAGUGCGAGUUUGUGUUCUCUAAAAUCCACAAAUAAAUUUUAGGAACAACAG